CUGAGUUGCAGUUAGUGACUUUGUCCAGGCUGAAAUUAUGUCAUUAGUCAGCUGCAGGCAGGAAGAAGCAUUUCUUCAGUCUCCUCUCCUCCAGUG